rnacentral:ncRNA from 1 species
ACCAUGGAGAGUUUGAUCCUGGCUCAGGAUGAACGCUGGCGGUAUGCUUAACACAUGCAAGUCGAACGCCCCUUCGGGGGAGUGGCGGACGGGUGAGUAACGCGUGAGAAUCUGCCUUCGGGUCGGGGACAACCACCGGAAACAGUGGCUAAUACCGGAUGUGCCGAGAGGUAAAAGAUUUAUUGCCAGAAGAGGAGCUCGCGUCUGAUUAGCUAGUUGGUAGGGUAAAGGCCUACCAAGGCAACGAUCAGUAGCUGGUCUGAGAGGAUGAGCAGCCACACUGGGACUGAGACACGGCCCAGACUCCUACGGGAGGCAGCGAGUGGGAUUUCCGCAAUGGGCGAAGCCUGACGGAGCAAUACC